rnacentral:rRNA from 1 species
UACGUAGGUGGCAAGCGCUGUCCGGAUUUACUGGGUGUAAAGGGCGUGUAGCCGGGCUGACAAGUCAGAUGUGAAAUCCGGGGGCUCAGCCCCCGAACUGCAUUUGAAACUGUUGGUCUUGAGUAUCGGAGAGGCAGGCGGAAUUCCUAGUGUAGCGGUGAAAUGCGUAGAUAUUAGGAGGAACACCAGUGGCGAAGGCGGCCUGCUGGACGACAACUGACGGUGAGGCGCGAAAGCGUGGGGAGCAAACAGG